rnacentral:rRNA from 1 species
UUGGAGGGCAAGUCUGGUGCCAGCAGCCGCGGUAAUUCCAGCUCCAAUAGCGUAUAUUAAAGUUGUUGCAGUUAAAAAGCUCGUAGUUGAAUUUCGGGGUUAGUAGGUUGGUCAUGCCUCUGGUACGUACUGGUCUCACUGAUUCCUCCUUCCUGAUGAGCCGUAAUGCCAUUAAUUUGGUGUUGCGGGGAAUUUGGACUGUUACUUUGAAAAAAUUAGAGUGUUUAAAGCAAGCUAACGCUUGAAUACAUUAGCAUGGAAUAAUGGAAUAGGACGUUCGAUCCUAUUUUGUUGGUUUCUAGGAUUGACGUAAUGAUUAAUAGGGAUAGUUGGGGGCAUUAGUAUUCGAUUGUCAGAGGUGAAAUUCUUGGAUUUAUUGAAGACUAACUACUGCGAAAGCAUUUGCCAAGGAUGUUUUCAUUAAUCAAGAACGAAAGUUAGGGGAUCGAAGACGAUCAGAUACCGUCGUAGUCUUAACCAUAAACUAUGCCGACUAGGGAUCGGAUGAUGUUAAUUUUUUAAUGACUCAUUCGGCGCCUUACGGGAAAC